GCACAAUUCCAUAUGAGUCUUUGUCUUUGUGUCUUCUAACAAGGAUACAAUUCUUACUCCUUUAAGAUCCGGUUGCGGUUUAAGUUCUUUUACUCAAUCAUACACAUGACAUCAAGUCAUAUUCGACUCCAAAACACUAACAAACCUUCUUUUUGCUUCUCAAAGCUUUCAUGGUGUAGCCAAAGCCCAUAUGAGUCUUUGGCUUUGUGUCUUCUAACAAGGAAACAUUAUUUAGGCUUUUAAGAUCGGGUUACGGUUUAAGUUGUUAUACUCAAUCAUACACAUGACAACAAGUCAUAUUCGACUCCAAAACACUAACCAACCUUCUUCUUGCUUCUCAAAGCUUUCAUGGUGUAGCCAAAGUCCAUAUGAGUCUUUGGCUUUGUGUCUUCUAACAAGGCAACACUACUGAGGCUUAUAAGAUCGGGUUGCGGUUUAAGUUCUUAUACUCAAUUAUACACAUCACAUCAAGUCAUAUUCGACUCCAAAACAAUAACA
rnacentral:sRNA from 1 species